rnacentral:rRNA from 1 species
CCUACGGGAGGCAGCAGUAGGGAAUAUUGCACAAUGGGCGAAACCCUGAUGCAGCGACGCCGCGUGAGCGAUGAAGGAUUUCGGAAUGUAAAGCUCUAUCAUUAGGGAAGAAAAUGACGGUACCUGACUAAGAAGCCCCGGCUAACUACGUGCCAGCAGCCGCGGUAAUACGUAGGGGGCAAGCGUUAUCCGGAUUUACUGGGUGUAAAGGGGGCGUAGGCGGGGGUGCAAGCCAGAUGUGAAAGCCCGUGGCUCAACCCCGGGACGGCAGUUGAAACUGUGCUGCUAGAGUGUCGGAGAGGCAGGCGGAAUUCCCAGUGUAGCGGUGAAAUGCGUAGAUAUAAGGAGGAACACCAGUGGCGAAGGCGGCCUGCUGGACGAUAACUGACGUUGAGGCUCGAAAGCGUGGGGAGCAAACAGGAUUAGAUACCCCGGUAGUC